rnacentral:rRNA from 1 species
UACGUAGGCAGCAAGCGUUGUUCGGAUUUACUGGGCGUAAAGGGUGUGUAGGCGGUCUUCUAAGUCUGGUGUGAAAUCUCCCGGCUCAACUGGGAGGGUGCGCCGAAAACUGGAAGGCUAGAGUGCGGGAUGGGAGAGUGGAAUUCCUGGUGUAGCGGUGAAAUGCGUAGAUAUCAGGAGGAACACCUGUGGUGUAGACGGCUCUCUGGACCGCAACUGACGCUGAGGAGCGAAAGCGUGGGGAGCGAACAGG